rnacentral:rRNA from 1 species
UGGGGAAUUUUGGACAAUGGGGGAAACCCUGAUCCAGCCAUCCCGCGUGUGCGAUGAAGGCCUUCGGGUUGUAAAGCACUUUUGGCAGGAAAGAAACGUCAUGGGUUAAUACCCCGUGAAACUGACGGUACCUGCAGAAUAAGCACCGGCUAACUACGUGCCAGCAGCCGCGGUAAUACGUAGGGUGCAAGCGUUAAUCGGAGUUACUGGGCGUAAAGCGUGCGCAGGCGGUUCGGAAAGAAAGAUGUGAAAUCCCAGAGCUCAACUUUGGAACUGCAUUUUUAACUACCGGGCUAGAGUGUGUGAGAGGGAGGUGGAAUUCCGCGUGUGGCAGUGAAAUGCGUAGAUAUGCGGAGGAACACCGAUGGCGAAGGCAGCCGCCUGGAAUAACACUGACGCUCAUGCACGAAAGCGUGGGGAGCAAACAGG